GAAAUUACAGUUAAGGACAUUUCUUUUUUAAGCCUUGUAUAUUAUAUAUUUGUAUAAGAGGACUACACGUAUGGAAGAGGUUAACAUGCAGAACAUCUCAAUCUCAACAUUAAUAGUAACUCAGGGCCAAGGCUAUCCAAAUAAAAAUAUGUUGCUCAGAAACAUCCAUUAAACAAUAAACAUAAGAGCAAAAAAAAAGGAAACUAAUUACCAAGAAUCCUUAUUAUACUGCACGUAUAUAUCUGAUAUAUAGCAGGAUACAUACAUUGCCAAAGGAUCAUUGGUUGCCCUUCAAGGUUAAGGAUUACAACUGUGACCUAACUAGUCGGACUAACAUAUAUGAAGAGCUCCCUUUCUUCCUUUUGCUCCCUUGAUGAUUGCAAACGCUGUCCCAUGAUCUGAACUUGGGAUUCAUAUUGACCUUGGCUGGAAGAAAGAAGAGUUAGUGCCAAAACGUUUGCUGAUAAGAGCAAACACAAGGUGACAAUACAAUAAUGGUGCUCAGGUGAAGAAAACUUGUUGGUUUUAGUAAGUGGCUUUUAAUUUGUAAGUGAAAUGGAAAGUGGAGGAAAGGAUCUUCCUGGCAUAUGCCUUACUCACUCUGCUUUGUGUUUGCUUUUCUGAUUCACUUUUUUUAUAUAUCUUUUUCUAACAUAAUCUGACACCUGCAUUUAGUUUAGGAAUCUACCAAGAAAAUUCUCCCUAGUGACAUUUAUGUGUUAAGGAUGUCAUCAAUUGGCCUAAAUUCAAUCUAGCUAUCUGCUGAAAUAAUUGGUAAUGGAUCAAGAAUCCAGGUUUGAAUAUAAACAAUUACUAAAGAAAAUUUUAUAAAUAUGAAUGCGGUUCUCUAUAUAUUAUAUAUGUUUGAUCUAUGGUUCUCAAUAUAUUAGAUAUAAAAUGACUAAAAUAUGUUUUUUUUUUGUGAAAUUGAUAGUUUAAAUUUAAUUCUUCUAAAAAAAUUUGUUCUCUUAAAAUUAUAAUAUAUAAUUUUUUGACUUGGAGCAAGGUAUAGGGUAGAUUUUUUUACACCCAUUAUAUAUAACUGAUGUAAAAAAGUUAUAGUUCAAAUAUCUGAAAUUUUUUAUGAACCAAAAAUGACAAGUUAUAAGUUUAUGAGAAUGAAAAAUAUAUCAAAAUUUUUAUAGGAAUAAAAUCUAAAUUUUGCAAAUCUUAUAAUGACAAAAAAAUAUAUCUGAGCAUAUAUAUAUAUAUAUAUAUAUAUAUAUUUGAAUUUUCAUCCAAUAAAAAAUAACAUGAAUAAUGUAUGUUUAUUAAUUUUUAUAAUAAUUAGUAUGUUAAAAAUAAUACCAAUAAUAAUUUUCUGUCAGAAAAAAAAUCUUAUUUCACGUUAAUUUAGAUUGACUCUUGUUAAGACAAUAGAAUCAAACUAUUCAUGAGAUGAGCUAAUCUAAGAAUAAUAGCUGUCAAAAGUCUUAAUUUAAGCAAUUGGAGAGAAUCGAAGAGUAAUAUGAGGAGUCAAUUCAAAAUUCAAAUGUCAUAUACUCUGAACAUUUGUAUGCUGUGAAUAUUAAUGCAAAUAUUAUCCUUAUCAUAUUAUACGCUCAUUUCAUAUGGUAUCAGAGCUCCAAACAAACUCUCUCCAUGUAGUACACCAUAUGUCUUCCUUGGCUACUCUACACAAUAUCACUCCUAUAUUUGUCCAAAUCGAGCAAAUCAAAAGGUGCAUAUGUCUCGCCAUGUAAUCUUCAUUGAAGACCAAUUCCCCUUCUCCCAAUCCAACCCUCAACCAUCACCACACAAUUCGUGGCUUCCACUCCCCAAUAUCAUACCUCCCUUGGCCGAAACCGCCUCACCAAAUUCAAUGGCACCCAAUCCCCAAAUCGCAUCCCCACAUCACUCUCCAAUAUCCCUCCAAAUCAGCCCAAACAUAACUCUUUCAAAUCACUCCACUUCAACGUCACACAAUUCAACCGUAACCCCACCUCUAAAUUCUAAUAACUCCCACACACCAAAUCAACAUACAUCCAUAACACAUCAAUCACCCAGUACUACCCAAACAUCUAAUCAACCAACACCCGAACCACACCAUCCACCAAGUAACACCACCUCUCCCAACCCUUUACCAAUGCCACCACCAGUCGACUACACAUCAACAUCAACCUCGGUGCCUUCAAGACCUGUUGCACGGUCCAUGAACGACAUACAUAAACCCAACAAAAAAUUCUUGCUGGUCACAAAACAUCCCAUACCACCAUCACAUGAACCUACAUUGUCUCACAAGCAAUGGCUUCCCUGGAGUGGCGUGCAUGCCGCCAUGGCCUCAAAAUUCAAUGCACUAAUCCAGCAAGGGACAUGGGAUCUAGUUCCCAAAAAUAAAGCCUCUAAUCUCAUUGGGUGUAAGUGGAUGUUCAGAGUGAAGCGGCACUCAGAUGGCUCCAUUGAUAGGUGCAAGGCACGUCUAAUCGCAAAAAGGCUUUCAUCAUCGCCCUGGACUAGACUAUGAUCAAACUUUCAGCCUGGUGAUUAAACCGCCAACAGUUUGGUUAGUUCUUACACUUGCCAUUCAACACCGUUGGCACAUUCGUUAGCUUGAUGUCAACAAUGUGUUUUUGCAUGGUAAGCUUUUGAAAACUGUCUACAUGCAACAACCACCAGGAUUUCACAAUCCAGACUAUCCUUAUCAUGUUUGCAGGCUAAAGAAAUCCUUGUAUGGUUUAAAACAGGCUCCUCAAGCUUGGUUUAACACCUUGUAUUCCUUCUUACUCUCCUAUGGGUUCAUCAACUCCAAAUCCGACCCGUCACUGUUUAUCUAUCUCAAAGGUGAUGCCAAACUCAACACAUUGGUAUAUGUUGAUGAUAUUUUAAUUACAGGUAACAAUGAUCAAGCAAUACAUAGGUGCAUUUCCACACUAGCUACGGUGUUCUCCAUUAAGGACUUGGGAUACAUUCAUUUAUUCCUUAGGGUUGAAGCCAUUCCUACCACUCAAGGACUAUUCCUUAGUCAACACAAAUAUAUUCAUGACUUGCUUGGCCACACACAAAUGGCAGAUGCAAAGGUUGUUGAUUCACCAAUGUCCACCUCUUCUCAACUCACUCAAUAUGAUGGCACAAGUGCAGUUGACGCUACUUAAUAUAGAAGCAUCAUAGGAGCCCUUCAGUAUUUUUCAAUGACAAGGCUAGACAUAGCCUACACAGUCAACAAGCUCGAACAAUUCAUGCAGAGCCCAUUCUCCACACACUUAUAUCUCUCCUCUUUCUUCUCUCUCGAGUUGUAGACAACUCAAAGUUGUCCAAGAAACAUUUUUCUUUAUAAUUUCCUGGAAUUCUUUUUUUUUUUUUUUUUACAAUAGUUGCCCUGAAGUUAGAAGUAUAACCUUAUGCAUAUUACUCAAAUCCCCGUAUUGUAAACUAGAGCCUUUAUGAAUUUAAAUUUACUGAUUAAUAUAAGUGCAUUCACAUCAAUUUUUGUAGUCAACAGAUAAAUUAUGUGUAGGAGUUUCGUCAGGCCUUGGGAUCUAUCAUCUGCCUCCUUGGUCUAUGGUUGUUGUAUAAAGUGGCAAGGAAGAGAGUGAUAAAGAAACGCAUACAAAAAUUCUUCAAAAAGAAUGGUGGUUUGUUGCUAAAAAAAAGAAUGUCAUCUGGUGAAGUUAAUGUGGACAAAGCUACUUUGUUCAGCUUAAAGGAUUUAGAGAAAGCCACUGACCACUUUAACUUGAACAUAAUUAUAGGAAAGGGAGGCCAAGGUACUGUUAGGAUGUUAGGAUGAGUUUAUCAUCCUUUCACAAAUUAACAAUAGAAAUGUGGUCAAGCUGUUAGGAUGUUGUUUGGGGACAGAAAUACCCUUGCUUGUUAUGAAUUCAUUCCUAAUGGUAACCUUUUUCAAUAUUUACAUGAUCAAAACGAGGACUUACCAAUGACAUGGGAUAUUCGUUUGAGAAUUGCAACAGGAAUUGCAGGAGCACUGUUUUACUUGCACUCAGUUGCAUCUCAACCCAUUUAUCACAGAGACAUCAAAUCCACAAAUAUUCUAUUGGAUGAAAAGUAUAGAGCUAAAAUUGCAGACUUUGGAGCAACCCGAAUGAUUUCCAUUGAAGAUACUCAUCUCACCACAGUCGUUCAAGGUACCUUUGGAUACUUGGAUCCCGAAUAUUUUCACACUAGUCAAUUUACAGAAAAAAGUGAUGUCUAAAGUUUUGUAGUUCUUGCUGAACUUUUAACAGGCCAACAACCAAUGUCCUCAGUGAGAAAUGCGGAAUCCAAUAAUUUGGCUUCAUAUUUUGUUCAGUGUAUGGAGGAGGAUAAUCUGUUUGACAUUAUUGACAAAAAGAGUUGUGAAAGAAGCAGAGAAGGGGCAAAUCAUUGCAGUUGCUAAUCUUGCAAAUAGAUGCUUAGAGUUGAAUGGAAAGAAACGUCCAACUAUGAAAGAAGUUACUUUUGAGUUAGAAAGGAUCAAGAGAUUGGUUAAAUCCAAUGCAGAACAAAACCAUGAAGAAAUUGAACUUGGUAGAAUAGAAGAUUGCCAACCUUGGGUUGCAUAUUCCACAUCAAAUUCGUUGCCAACUCUAAGCAGUGAAACAAUCUCAUCAGACUCGGAGGUUAUACCUAUUGUUACAUUAUAAUAAUUGAUGAAUUUUCAUAAUUUGUUCUUCAUGCAGAAUCGAUAAUCAUUUUUGGUAAUUGAAGACAUGUAACAGCCUAAACUCUGUAAGUGUAAUUGUUAGGAGUUAUUUAUAAUAAAACAGAGCACAGGACUCAUCAAUGGUGCAUGAGGAUCCGUGUGUUUGCUCUCUUACCAAAUACUGCCUUCUUGUUAUUUUCUUCUUUGUAUUUUUUUUAAAGCCAACAAAAGUGCAUUUUAUUGAUAAAGCCAAAAAACAGGUACAAGUAGUACCCGAUUGAACAAAAAUUACAGUAAUUAGAUCAUGGUUUACCUACACCACAUAUAUAUCAACAUGGCUCGAUAUCCCCCUUUGCACAGCACCAGUGUAACAUUCAGACAAUAAAUUUACAAAACCAAGCACCGGUAAACUAUAUACCACCUAGAAUCAGCUUGAUAUGUUAUUGCAAUUUAUAUGUAUCUUUGUCGAGACAUUCUUAUUCUUUGUAUGGAUUAUUGAAGCAUAUAGUUUGUACGAGAGAACUGGAAAAGGUUUUGGGGAAUUAAAAAGGGACUAAAGGGUGAAUGCUCUAAUUUUAAUUGAUAGUGUGGCAUGUAAACUUUUUUAUUUUAAUUUGAUUACAAGAACUUAGACUAUUUUCACCUACAAAAUAGUCUGACAAUGACUGUGCUUCAAAUCUCUAUUUGUGUGUAGCAUGGGUUAGGAUGCAUCAUUUGUGUGCAAUUAUAAUCCCUUCAUAUGAUUGUGGUGAUUGUAUCAUGUUUUGUGAUCAUGCAUGUUAACUGCUAGAUGUCUUGAUAUUUGUUAUGUUAUGGUGUGACCGGAAGUAUCAUAUGAUUCUAUCAAUGGCUAUUGUGCUAGUUGUGUUUCAUGAUAUCUGGUUUUUUGGGUUCAGUGAGUUGCAUUCUAAAAGUUUGUACCGAACUGCACUAUUUUGGUCCUCCGAACUGAACUGUUAUAUAUUCAUGGACUGGUUUUUUUUUCUGUUGUUGUUGUUAAUUUGGUUUUGCAACAAGUUAUUAUGUGCUUGUUUGAUUCAGUAUCAAGAUAUUAAUUUUUUAUAAGUUUAAUAGAUAUUGUAUAAUAGAUCAAUUUUAUAACAAUUAAUCCAACCACGGAUUGUAACAGUUCAGUUUUGUAAAACUAAACUUAAAAAAAAGUUCAGUUCAGUUUUCAUAAAAAAAUAGGCCAGUUUUUUAUAUUUCAAUUCAGUGCAGUUGAUAGCAAUUCAGCGGAUAUCAACACAAGCAUUUUGCACAUUUUAUUAUCAUUACCUGAUUAGUGGCAAUAUUCACAAUUCUAUUAUAACAAACUAUAGGAUAUUUUGUAAGAAAAUCUAUAAAUAAGGAACAGAGGAAAUAAGAAAAGAAGAGAACAAUUACCUUAAUUAGCUUUCCUUAGUUCCUUAAUUGUAGUAGUAGAAUAGAGUAGCGUUAUUUGUAUCAAUUGGUCCGACCUGCCCCCUUCUCUGCCAUUCUUCAAUGGCAGAUGCUGAACCUCUCAACGCCAGCCUGGACCGGCUCGAGGCAGCCAUGGCCAACCUCGCCGCAGUGGAUUCCGAUCUCCAUGCAUCUCACCUUCGUUUAGAUGCGCUCCACGCUUCCAUGCUCUUCAAACUUGAUUUCCUUAGCCGGAAACUAGAUAUCAUGAUUUUCCGCCAACGAUCCCCGUCACCUUCUCCGGUACAGCCACCACCGCCGCCGUUGCCACCGUUUCCUCCUUCAGCGCAACCACCAUCGACACCGCCAGCUCCUCCGCCUUGCUCUCACGUACCUCCUCCCAUGGCUAGACAACGAGAUAGUCCUGUUAUUGGAAUCGAUUCCAGCACCAUCGACUUCCCCGUCAGCGUGUGGCAGCACCACCGUGCCGACAUCAACCGCCACUUCCAGUCCAUCCAGCUGUGGCCUUUGCCGCUCCGCACCAACACCCGCUGUUACCGCAAGAUCCCCCACGACAACGACAUCAACCUGCACGGGAACGUCGUGGUUGCGUAUCAGCUUCAUCCUCGUUGGAUUUGGGUUCUUUGUGCUUCUGAGACUUAGCGUUGCUUUGUUCGUCCUCGGCGCCAACGCCCGCCGCCAUGCCCGCCGCCACGGCCACCACCACCUCCGAAGCCACCGCCUCCACCAUUAUCUCUGUUACCGUCUUUAACACCUCCCUUGAUUGCUCUACGGCGCGGGUAACACACCCACUCCUUUCCUUGGUCGUUCAGUUUCGUGGCAUGGGUCACACACUCGCUUACUGCUUCAGACAUUAAUAAUGUUGGGCCUAAACCAGCUCACAAACAAAGUAACUUCCCUAACAUACCUCCUGUUUUUUAAACUCACCCCUGUUUUCGCUUGUUUUAUUGUCCAACCUUGAGGACAAGGUUGUUUUGAAACGGUGGGUAAUGAUAGCAAUUCAGCGGAUACCAACACAAGCAUUUUGCACGUUUUAUUAUCAUUACCUGAUUAGUGGCAAUAUUCACACUUCUGUUAUAACAAACUAUAGGAUAUUUUGUAAGAAAAUCUAUAAAUAAGGAACAGAG
rnacentral:lncRNA from 1 species